rnacentral:rRNA from 1 species
GGGUUGUGAGGUUAAGCGACUAAGCGUACACGGUGGAUGCCCUGGCAGUCAGAGGCGAUGAAGGACGUGCUAAUCUGCGAAAAGCGUCGGUAAGGUGAUAUGAACCGUUACAGCCGGCGAUGUCCGAAUGGGGAAACCCAGUGUGAUUCGUCACACUAUCGUUAACUGAAUACAUAGGUUAACGAGGCGAACCGGGGGAACUGAAACAUCUAAGUACCCCGAGGAAAAGAAAUCAACCGAGAUUCCCCCAGUAGCGGCGAGCGAACGGGGAGCAGCCCAGAGUCUGAAUCAGCUUGUGUGUUAGUGGAACGGUCUGGAAAGUCCGACGGUACAGGGUGAUAGUCCCGUACACCAAAAUGCACAGGCUGUGAACUCGAAGAGUAGGGCGGGACACGUGGUAUCCUGUCUGAAUAUGGGGGGACCAUCCUCCAAGGCUAAAUACUCCUGACUGACCGAUAGUGAACCAGUACCGUGAGGGAAAGGCGAAAAGAACCCCGGCGAGGGGAGUGAAAAAGAACCUGAAACCGUGUACGUACAAGCAGUGGGAGCACCUUCGGGUGUGACUGCGUACCUUUUGUAUAAUGGGUCAGCGACUUAUAUUCUGUAGCAAGGUUAACCGUAUAGGGGAGCCGCAGGGAAACCGAGUCUUAACUGGGCGUUAAGUUGCAGGGUAUAGACCCGAAACCCGGUGAUCUAGCCAUGGGCAGGUUGAAGGUUGGGUAACACUAACUGGAGGACCGAACCGACUAAUGUUGAAAAAUUAGCGGAUGACUUGUGGCUGGGGGUGAAAGGCCAAUCAAACCGGGAGAUAGCUGGUUCUCCCCGAAAGCUAUUUAGGUAGCGCCUCGUGAACUCAUCUUCGGGGGUAGAGCACUGUUUCGGCUAGGGGGUCAUCCCGACUUACCAACCCGAUGCAAACUACGAAUACCGAAGAAUGUUAUCACGGGAGACACACGGCGGGUGCUAACGUCCGUCGUGAAGAGGGAAACAACCCAGACCGCCAGCUAAGGUCCCAAAGUCAUGGUUAAGUGGGAAACGAUGUGGGAAGGCACAGACAGCCAGGAUGUUGGCUUAGAAGCAGCCAUCAUUUAAAGAAAGCGUAAUAGCUCACUGGUCGAGUCGGCCUGCGCGGAAGAUGUAACGGGGCUAAACCAUGCACCGAAGCUGCGGCAGCGACACUAUGUGUUGUUGGGUAGGGGAGCGUUCUGUAAGCCUGCGAAGGUGUGCUGUGAGGCAUGCUGGAGGUAUCAGAAGUGCGAAUGCUGACAUAAGUAACGAUAAAGCGGGUGAAAAGCCCGCUCGCCGGAAGACCAAGGGUUCCUGUCCAACGUUAAUCGGGGCAGGGUGAGUCGACCCCUAAGGCGAGGCCGAAAGGCGUAGUCGAUGGGAAACAGGUUAAUAUUCCUGUACUUGGUGUUACUGCGAAGGGGGGACGGAGAAGGCUAUGUUAGCCGGGCGACGGUUGUCCCGGUUUAAGCAUGUAGGCUGAUUGUCCAGGCAAAUCCGGAUAAUCAAGGCUGAGGUGUGAUGACGAGGCACUACGGUGCUGAAGUAACAAAUGCCCUGCUUCCAGGAAAAGCCUCUAAGCAUCAGGUAACAUCAAAUCGUACCCCAAACCGACACAGGUGGUCAGGUAGAGAAUACCAAGGCGCUUGAGAGAACUCGGGUGAAGGAACUAGGCAAAAUGGUGCCGUAACUUCGGGAGAAGGCACGCUGGUGUGUAGGUGAAGUCCCUGCGGAUGGAGCUGAGACCAGUCGAAGAUACCAGCUGGCUGCAACUGUUUAUUAAAAACACAGCACUGUGCAAACACGAAAGUGGACGUAUACGGUGUGACGCCUGCCCGGUGCCGGAAGGUUAAUUGAUGGGGUUAUCCGUAAGGAGAAGCUCUUGAUCGAAGCCCCGGUAAACGGCGGCCGUAACUAUAACGGUCCUAAGGUAGCGAAAUUCCUUGUCGGGUAAGUUCCGACCUGCACGAAUGGCGUAAUGAUGGCCAGGCUGUCUCCACCCGAGACUCAGUGAAAUUGAACUCGCUGUGAAGAUGCAGUGUACCCGCGGCAAGACGGAAAGACCCCGUGAACCUUUACUAUAGCUUGACACUGAACAUUGAGCCUUGAUGUGUAGGAUAGGUGGGAGGCUUUGAAGCGUGGACGCCAGUCUGCGUGGAGCCAACCUUGAAAUACCACCCUUUAAUGUUUGAUGUUCUAACGUUGGCCCCUUACCGGGGUUGCGGACAGUGUCUGGUGGGUAGUUUGACUGGGGCGGUCUCCUCCCAAAGCGUAACGGAGGAGCACGAAGGUUAGCUAAUCCUGGUCGGACAUCAGGAGGUUAGUGCAAUGGCAUAAGCUAGCUUGACUGCGAGCGUGACGGCGCGAGCAGGUGCGAAAGCAGGUCAUAGUGAUCCGGUGGUUCUGAAUGGAAGGGCCAUCGCUCAACGGAUAAAAGGUACUCCGGGGAUAACAGGCUGAUACCGCCCAAGAGUUCAUAUCGACGGCGGUGUUUGGCACCUCGAUGUCGGCUCAUCACAUCCUGGGGCUGAAGUAGGUCCCAAGGGUAUGGCUGUUCGCCAUUUAAAGUGGUACGCGAGCUGGGUUUAGAACGUCGUGAGACAGUUCGGUCCCUAUCUGCCGUGGGCGCUGGAGAAUUGAGGGGGGCUGCUCCUAGUACGAGAGGACCGGAGUGGACGCAUCACUGGUGUUCGGGUUGUCAUGCCAAUGGCACUGCCCGGUAGCUAAAUGCGGAAGAGAUAAGUGCUGAAAGCAUCUAAGCACGAAACUUGCCCCGAGAUGAGUUCUCCCUGAGACUUUAAGUCUCCUGAAGGAACGUUAAAGACGAUGACGUUGAUAGGCCGGGUGUGUAAGCGCAGCGAUGCGUUGAGCUAACCGGUACUAAUGAACCGUGAGGCUUAACCUUACAACGCCGAAG